UACAGAGGUGGCAAGCGUUGUUCGGAAUUACUGGGCGUAAAGGGCGCGUAGGCGGCCAUCUAAGUCAGACGUGAAAUCCCCCCGGCUUAACCUGGGAACUGCGUCUGAUACUGGAAGGCUUGAGUAUGGGAGAGGGAUGUAGAAUUCCAGGUGUAGCGGUGAAAAUGCGUAGAUAUCUGGAGGAAUACCGGUGGCGAAGGCGGCAUCCUGGACCAUUACUGACGCUGAGGCGCGAAAAGCUAGGGGGAGCAAACGGGG
rnacentral:rRNA from 1 species